rnacentral:rRNA from 1 species
ACCAAGGGUUCCUGUCCAACGUUAAUCGGGGCAGGGUGAGUCGACCCCUAAGGCGAGGCCGAAAGGCGUAGUCGAUGGGAAACGGGUUAAUAUUCCCGUACUUGGUGUUACUGCGAAGGGGGGACGGAGAAGGCUAUGUUGGCCGGGCGACGGUUGUCCCGGUUUAAGCGUGUAGGUGUGUGUUCCAGGUAAAUCCGGUUCACUUUAACACUGAGGCGUGACGACGAGGCACUACGGUGCUGAAGCAACAAAUGCCCUGCUUCCAGGAAAAGCCUCUAAGCAUCAGGUAACAUCAAAUCGUACCCCAAACCGACACAGGUGGUCAGGUAGAGAAUACCAAGGCGCUUGAGAGAACUCGGGUGAAGGAACUAGGCAAAAUGGUGCCGUAACUUCGGGAGAAGGCACGCUGACACGUAGGUGAAGUGAUUUACUCAUGGAGCUGAAGUCAGUCGAAGAUACCAGCUGGCUGCAACUGUUUAUUAAAAACACAGCACUGUGCAAACACGAAAGUGGACGUAUACGGUGUGACGCCUGCCCGGUGCCGGAAGGUUAAUUGAUGGGGUCAGCGCAAGCGAAGCUCCUGAUCGAAGCCCCGGUAAACGGCGGCCGUAACUAUAACGGUCCUAAGGUAGCGAAAUUCCUUGUCGGGUAAGUUCCGACCUGCACGAAUGGCGUAAUGAUGGCCAGGCUGUCUCCACCCGAGACUCAGUGAAAUUGAACUCGCUGUGAAGAUGCAGUGUACCCGCGGCAAGACGGAAAGACCCCGUGAACCUUUACUAUAGCUUGACACUGAACAUUGAGCCUUGAUGUGUAGGAUAGGUGGGAGGCUUUGAAGCGUGGACGCCAGUCUGCGUGGAGCCGACCUUGAAAUACCACCCUUUAAUGUUUGAUGUUCUAACGUGGACCCGUGAUCCGGGUUGCGGACAGUGUCUGGUGGGUAGUUUGACUGGGGCGGUCUCCUCCUAAAGAGUAACGGAGGAGCACGAAGGUUGGCUAAUCCUGGUCGGACAUCAGGAGGUUAGUGCAAUGGCAUAAGCCAGCUUGACUGCGAGCGUGACGGCGCGAGCAGGUGCGAAAGCAGGUCAUAGUGAUCCGGUGGUUCUGAAUGGAAGGGCCAUCGCUCAACGGAUAAAAGGUACUCCGGGGAUAACAGGCUGAUACCGCCCAAGAGUUCAUAUCGACGGCGGUGUUUGGCACCUCGAUGUCGGCUCAUCACAUCCUGGGGCUGAAGUAGGUCCCAAGGGUAUGGCUGUUCGCCAUUUAAAGUGGUACGCGAGCUGGGUUUAGAACGUCGUGAGACAGUUCGGUCCCUAUCUGCCGUGGGCGCUGGAGAACUGAGGGGGGCUGCUCCUAGUACGAGAGGACCGGAGUGGACGCAUCACUGGUGUUCGGGUUGUCAUGCCAAUGGCACUGCCCGGUAGCUAAAUGCGGAAGAGAUAAGUGCUGAAAGCAUCUAAGCACGAAACUUGCCCCGAG